GAGUGUGUUUGUCACUUUUACUGCAGUUGGUGAGAAGUCUGCUACACAGAAAAUUAUACUCUAGAUGUCACAUAUGGAGUCUGGCUAACAGGGAACUAAACUAGAUCAAAUGCACUUCAUUUGCAAUGGGAUUGGCGUAAGAAUUAGAGAAAAUGCAUUGAUUUCAUGACGCCCCCUACCGUGCGCCAUGACCAUCUGAACACAGACUUUGGUAAGUAAAAUGUUUGUAUUUAUUGGCUUAACGUGUAAAAUUACGUAUGUUGUCGAAGAAGAGUAAGUAUGGCUUAAAGAGUAGUAUUUUCUUGUUAUAUGUAUGCACGGGCGGUUUCUCCAUUAGGGCGAUUGGGCGACGCACCACCAAAGCGCGAAAGGGAGGGAUUGUUUUUCUUUCACAUUCAACCAGUGUUACGCUAGCUUUCACUGUUUGUUCUGCCUCUAAAUAGUCCAAUCGAGAUAUAUCCAGCUGCAGACCCGCAGCACCAGCAGUUUCAAAACCGCAGCCACAGAACCGGAAGUGAGAGGCGGAGUUAUUGACAACGAGAGAGCACGAGACGUAUAAGGAUUCAGAGUUGACACAUUACCUGAGCUGCAGCAGUGCAACAAGUGUUACAGCAAUCACCAGCAAUUUUCUGCUUGACCAGCAUGUUUAAGUCAGCCAAACUGGUCAAAUUAAUAAGUCAUCAUCAAAUCCACUUCAACAUGCAGUUGUCUGUGGAGUACAUCUUGUCUUGGGAGCACCCUUUGAUUUUACAUCUGUAAGUAGUUAUCAGUUAAAGUAAUUGACCUUUAUGAUGUUGUAGCAGUUGAUAGUUAAAGAUUUCUGUUUGUGUCUUCCAGUGUGACAUUCCAAUCAUACUGAGAUGGUGGACUCCAGAUGGUUUUCUCUGAAAGGUACUGGACAUUUCCUCCAGCACACCAUUACAUUUGCACCCCCUUCUGACCAAUUUGAAAUUAACCAAGAUACAUAUGUAUUACAGUGCAGAAACCCUACAAGAGGCCCUUCCAAUUGGAUAACAGGCUACGCUUGUGAGGAGAUCCCAGUAAUCUCACAGAAGUUGUGAAAUGGCUCCAUUAAACAGACAUCUGCUCAGGGGGGCAGUGGAAGAGCCUCUUUUCCUUAUAAUGGAGGAAGAGAACAAGGAAAAGGCCCUCAACAAUCUCCUGGAACAGAAGUUUCCAGAGUGCCCUUCAUAUUUCAUCUUGUGUUUAGGGGAGUUAUUUUUAUAGGA
rnacentral:lncRNA from 1 species